GCAGUGGUGGUUCAGUGGUAGAAUUUCUGCCUCCCACACUGGAGACCCAGGUUCGAUUCCUGGCCAGUGUG
rnacentral:tRNA from 1 species